AUUGAACGCUGGCGGCAUGCCUUACACAUGCAAGUCGAACGGUAACGGGCCUUCGGGUGCCGACGAGUGGCGAACGGGUGAGUAAUGUAUCGGAACGUACCUUUCAGUGGGGGAUAACGUAGCGAAAGUUACGCUAAUACCGCAUAUUCUGUGAGCAGGAAAGCAGGGGACCUUCGGGCCUUGCGCUGAUUGAGCGGCCGAUAUCAGAUUAGCUAGUUGGUGAGGUAAAGGCUCGCCAAGGCGACGAUCUGUAGCGGGUCUGAGAGGAUGAUCCGCCACACUGGAACUGAGACACGGUCCAGACUCCUACGGGAGGCAGCAGUGGGGAAUUUUGGACAAUGGGGGCAACCCUGAUCCAGCCAUGCCGCGUGAGUGGAGAAGGCCUUCGGGUUGUAAAGCUCUUUCGGCCGGGAAGAAAUCGUAUCAGCUAAUACCUGGUGCGGAUGACGGUACCGGCAUAAGAAGCACCGGCUAACUACGUGCCAGCCGCCGCCGUAACAC
rnacentral:rRNA from 1 species